GCAAACAUUAAAUAAGUUUUAUUUAUUUGAUUCAAAGAAAAGCAUAAUAAGCUACACAAUGGGGGUAGCUUUGCCUUAAAUACACACUUACAUUAUAUAUAUAAAUAAAGAGUCUCGAAAGCGUGCGAGACUGUCCCACUUCAAAUGAAAAAAAAAAAUUACAACACAAUAAACAACUUUAUUUUAGCACAACUUAAUUCCCACUUGAAAAUGUGAGAUUAUUAACUCAUAGUUGCUCCCAUACUUAAUAGUAACAAAAAGCCUCAAAGAAGUCAAUUAUAGGUAUCAGCCACCUCUUGGAGAAUUUCAGCGAUCUCCUUAGUCUUUGUAAGCUGCAAUUUAUGAUCUCCACCUUCGACCUUAUAAACCUUGUCUGGUUUAUAGUUUUCUAUUUGCCAGAGUUGAAAUUCAGGUAAAAAUAUUUCGUCUUGGUCGGUCCACACAUAAAUUUUCUUAAUCGAUCCGUAACCUUCCUUAGUGAAGAAUGGUCGCUUAGCUAAAAUAUUUUGAAAUAAUGAUCCCUUCCUUGUCAACAUCUUCGCCAGUUCAUAUUCCUUGAAAAAAUAAUGCAAUAUCUAUGUUGGUUAUAUUGAGAGAGAGAGAGAAUCAUCAAUGGUUUUGAAGGAAAAGUAUACUUUUUCACUUCUUUCAUUAGUGUGGAUCUCGCCAGAUCCAAACAAAUUCAAGAUUCCUAAUAUAUAUGAAUCCCAACACAGUAUAACUUUAUCGAAAAAAAUUUUUAAUCAUAAGCAAUUUUAUUAAAAUUUUCUUUUACCUUGAUAAUUUUAAAAAGGGAUAGAGGUUAUUUCAAAUUUGAAAUCUUGACCUUCUUUAUUAUAAAGUAAAAACUCAACCGACUAAAAUUAGUAUAUAGCCUAAUGACAUUAAGGACAUGCUUUCUUGAAAGGAAAGCAGGAAAGCGGGGGGAAAAGAAAGAUGGAUUAGAAUUAUAAAGAAAGUAAAAUUUUUAUGGAAAAGAAAAAUUAUUAUUUUAUUUAUAAAUUUUUCAUAUAAAAAAAGAAAAGAAAAAAAAGUAAGAACCUUUCAAACCAUAGGGACCUUUUCCUUAUUAUCUUUUCAUCAAUCAUGGACCUAUACAAAUAUCUAAAUUCACUUAGAAAGAUCAUUUGCUCUAUACAGUUUGUAGUUAGCCUAUGACUUCAAGAUCUUAGAACAUUUCUACUGCAAGACUGCUAAAAAGUUGUGGUUAAGCAUUUCAUGCCAAGCAGCCCGUGGUCAUCUGUGUGCCCCAUAGCCCAGGUAGUCAAGAGUUUAAAUUCCGGUCUCCCCCAACCCAG
rnacentral:misc_RNA from 1 species